GCCAAGCAGGCAUACGCGCGAGUGCUUAAGCAAGUUGUAUUUUUGUGAUUGAUUGCCUGACCGACGGGAAUAGAACAAAACGAAGUGCAGUGCAGUGGGUGUUGAUUAUGGCUUAGGGCCAGUUAUGAAAACCUGCAGCUGGUUAGCCCAUAUUUGGUAUCUGCACCGAGAAGCAACAGUGAUGGAGUAGAGUUUAGAUUUGCUUAGAGAUCGGCCUUUCAUUCGCUGCAAAAAUUAUGUAGCGGCUUGUGAGAGCAACAUCCCAAGACGACGGCGAAUUGAAGUGGCUGGCUUGGAUCGCUGGCAGAGGCCAGCAAUCAUCUUGGGUCUGUCCGGACAGACAUGACGGUUUGCAGUCGCCGAGGGAUACAUUUUUACACUGACACACACACACACACUAAACUUUAGGUU